rnacentral:rRNA from 1 species
UACAGGGGGGGCAAGCGUUGUUCGGAAUUACUGGGCGUAAAGGGCCUGUAGGCGGCCAACUAAGUCACACGUGAAAUCCCCAGGCUUAACCUGGGAACUGCGUGUGAUACUGGAUGGCUUGAAUUCGGGAGAGGGAUGCAGAAUUCCAGGUGUAGCGGUGAAAUGCGUAGAUAUCUGGAGGAAUACCGGUGGCGAAGGCGGCAUCCUGGACCGACAUUGACGCUGAACGGCGAAAGCUAGGGGAGCAAACGGG